CCUGGAAUUUCUUCAUACAAAUGGAACAUACAAGUACAAACGUGUAACUCAAAAGGCCUGUGUUCGCCCCUUCUGCGCAUGUUUACGUCUGUCGCCCCGCCCCCCGCUGGUGAGUCCCGGGGGCGCAGUUGGCUUGGCCCCCAGGCUUUGGCCCCCGGCCACGCCCACUCCUGCGCCGGGAGCCCCAGGGUCUAGAGUCUCCAGAACAAUGCUGAGGGGAAAUGAUGAUAAUAAACAUCUGCCUCAUUCCUAACCUCGGAGAUAAGCAUUUAAAAUUUCCAUAUUGAAUAUGACGUUAACUGUGGUUUUCCUGUAGCUAAUGUCUAUCAAUUUAAGAAACUUGCUUUCCUUUAUAAUUUCCCUGAGAAGUUUUAUUUAUAUUUUUCAUGACUGGGUGUUGAUUUUUGUCAAGUGUGUUUAUGGCUCUACUAAAACGAAUGCAUGUUUUCUUUGUCCUUUGA